AUGUUGUGGUCAAACUGCAUGGGUCAGUACAACAUGCUAGACUAUUUGGGACAGUAUGACCGGCAGUCAAGUAAAACGAUGGCCGUGAUCAGGAAAUUGGCGAAUGUAUUUUGCGGGACAUACCAAAAGUUGUGUAUCAGUAAGCUGGUGGACACCAAGUUCGUGGAGGUGGAUGAGCAGAUCAUGAGAUGCGUCGUCCAGAGGAUUGCUCGGUAUCGCCAAGAAGGUGGAUCAAGUAGCCCCCAGCCCCAGCAAUGGCCAAAUCUUGGCCCACUUCUACACAAGAUGGUGCACGAGUACCCUGAUUCCAACUUUGAUCAUCAGUCCAUUAUCAAAUUCCAUAUAAUUACAGAGGUAUGGCUGAGUAGGUAUAUACCCACCGGCACUGCUGUGGACAGAGAGUCUAGUGAUGCUUUGGUUCGUGUGUGCCGAAUGAUAUCCCGCUAUAUGGUUUAUCUUUUGGCCAACCGCCCUGAAAUGCUGCCAAUCUACGAUGGCGGCCAAAGUAGUCUUCGGUCAGUAGCAUGGCUUUGUGAAGACUUGCAAGGUGCGGAUGUUAAUGACAUCCUCCAUCGGACAAUUUUGUUGUCGACUAAAGAUGAUAUACCGGAGACCCCGGAGGAGUGCAGAAAAGAGCAGCUGUUGGAGAUCGAAGAGUUAUGGGUAGGUCUGCUCCUCCAUGCCGCCAGCAAGUCACGGCCGGAGAUGCAUGCAGCACUGCUAGCCAGAGGAGGGGAGCUCCUUACCUUCAUCUGGCUGCUCAUGGCCCACUACAGACUUGGGGAUGUGGUGAACUGCCCCAUCGAGAUGACGGCUAAUGCAACUAUUGGUCAGCGCCACUACGCCUUCUGA
rnacentral:rRNA from 1 species